rnacentral:RNase_P_RNA from 20 species
CCAGAUGGCCGGGCAGCCGCUGGUAUGCGGGUAACUGCAUACUGGAGGAAAGUCCGGGCUCCAGGUGGACAGGGCGACGGCUAACGGCCGCCCGGCGUGAGCCGAGGGAAAGUGCCACAGAAAGGAAACCGCCCGAAGGCUUCGGCCAGAGGGUAAGGGUGAAAGGGUGGGGUAAGAGCCCACCGCAGCGCUGGCAACAGGGCUGGCAUGGUAAACCCCGCCCGGAGCAAGACCAAGUAGGGGGCACAUAUGGGCUGUCCGCCGCCCGUGCCCCGGGUGCGUCGCGCCGAGGCGUUCAGCAAUGAACGCCCCAGAGGAAUGGCUGCCAGAUCCCGCAAGGGACGAACAGAACCCGGCUUAUUGGCCAUCUGGUCUA